AACGAACGCUGGCGGCAUGCCUAACACAUGCAAGUCGAACGAAACCUUCGGGUCUAGUGGCGCACGGGUGAGUAACGCGUGGGAACCUGCCCUUAGGUUCGGAAUAACUCCCGGAAAGGGGUGCUAAUACCGGAUAAUGUCUUCGGGCCAAAGAUUUAUCGCCUUUGGAUGGGCCCGCGUUGGAUUAGCUAGUUGGUAGGGUAAAAGCCUACCAAGGCGACGAUCCAUAGCUGGUCUGAGAGGAUGAUCAGCCACACUGGGACUGAGACACGGCCCAGACUCCUACGGGAGGCAGCAGUGGGGAAUAUUGGACAAUGGGCGAAAGCCUGAUCCAGCCAUGCCGCGUGAGUGAUGAAGGCCUUAGGGUUGUAAAGCUCUUUUACCCGGGAUGAUAAUGACGGUACCGGGAGAAUAAGCUCCGGCUAACUCCGUG
rnacentral:rRNA from 1 species